CUGGCUCCCAGAAAUAAAAGGCACUCUUAAAACAUAAAAUGUCUUUAAAUAGAGGUGCAGAUAGCAAGUGGAUCUUGUGGCCUUUGGAGGGCUGUGACUGUGCCCCUCGAAGUGAAUGUGGGGGGUUCUACGUCC
ensembl:snoRNA